rnacentral:tRNA from 1 species
CCCUAAUAGCUCUGUUGGUAAAGAAUCUGCCUGCAAUGUAGGAGACCCUGGUUUGAUUCCUGGAUUGGGAA